rnacentral:rRNA from 1 species
GAUGAACGCUGGCGGCGUGCCUAAUACAUGCAAGUCGAGCGGUAAGGCCACUUCGGUGGUACACGAGCGGCGGACGGCUGAGUAACACGUAGGAACGUACCCCAAACUGAGGGAUAACUGCUCGAAAGAGUAGCUAAUACCGCAUGUGCUCUAAGGAGUAAAGCUUCGGCGGUUUGGGAACGGCCUGCGCAUGAUUAGCUUGUUGGUGAGGUAAAAGCUCACCAAGGCGACGAUCAUUAGCUGGUCUGAGAGGAUGAUCAGCCAGACUGGGACUGAGACACGGCCCAGACUCCUACGGGAGGCAGCAGUAGGGAAUUUUCCACAAUGGGCGAAAGCCUGAUGGAGCAACGCCGCGUGCAGGAUGAAUGCCUUCGGGUUGUAAACUGCUUUUAUAUGUGACGAUUAUGACGGUAGCAUAUGAAUAAGGAUCGGCUAACUCCGUGCCAGCAGCCGCGGUCAUACGGAGGAUCCAAGCGUUAUCCGGAAUUACUGGGCGUAAAGAGUUGCGUAGGUGGCAUAGCAAGUUGGUAGUGAAAUGACAUGGCUCAACCAUGUGCCCAUUACCAAAACUGUUAAGCUAGAGGACGAGAGAGGUUACUGGAAUUCCCAGUGUAGGAGUGAAAUCCGUAGAUAUUGGGAGGAACACCGAUGGCGUAGGCAGGUAACUGGCUCGUUCCUGACACUAAGGCACGAAAGCGUGGGGAGCAAACGGGAUUAGAUACCCCGGUAGUCCACGCCGUAAACGAUGGAUGCUAGCUGUUAGAAGUAUCGACCCUUCUAGUAGCGAAGCUAACGCGUUAAGCAUCCCGCCUGUGGAGUACGAGCGCAAGCUUAAAACAUAAAGGAAUUGACGGGGACCCGCACAAGCGGUGGAGCGUGUUGUUUAAUUCGAUGAUAAGCGAAGAACCUUACCCAGGCUUGACAUCCUUGGAAUUUUGCCGAAAGGCGAGAGUGCUUUUAGAGCCAAGUGACAGGUGAUGCAUGGCCGUCGUCAGCUCGUGUCGUGAGAUGUUUGGUUAAGUCCAUCAACGAGCGCAACCCUUGUAGUUAGUUGUAUUUUUCUAGCUAGACUGCCCUGGCAACAGGGAGGAAGGAGGGGAUGAUGUCAGGUCAGUAUUUCCCUUACGUCUGGGGCUACAAACACGCUACAAUGGCCGGUACAAAGGGCAGCCAACCCGCGAGGGGGAGCAAAUCUCAUCAAAGCCGGUCUCAGUUCGGAUUGUAGGCUGAAACUCGCCUGCAUGAAGUCGGAAUCGCUAGUAACGGUAGGUCAGCUAUACUACCGUGAAUACGUUCCCGGGUCU